GAUGAACGCUAGCGGCAGGCUUAAUACAUGCAAGUCGAGGGGCAGCAGGGUGUAGCAAUACAUCGCUGGCGACCGGCAAACGGGUGCGGAACACGUGCGCAACCUUCCUUCAAGUGAGGAAUAGCCCAGGGAAACUUGGAUUAAUACCUCGUAACAUUGUGAAGUGGCAUCACUUUAUAAUUAUAGCUCAGGCGCUUGAAGAUGGGCGUGCGACNGAUUAGGUAGUUGGCGGAGUAACAGCCCACCAAGCCUGCGAUCAGUAACUGGUGUGAGAGCACGACCAGUCACGACGGGC
rnacentral:rRNA from 1 species